rnacentral:rRNA from 1 species
GAUGAACGCUAGCGGCAGGCCUAAUACAUGCAAGUCAAGGGGCCCAGCAAUGGGCACCGGCGGACGGGUGCGUAACGCGUACACAACAUACCUUUAAGUGGGGGAUAGCAUUGGGAAACUGAUGGUAAUACCCCAUAAUAAUUCAGGGAGGCAUUUCCUUGGAUUUAAAGCUCCGGCGCUUAGAGAUUGGUGUGCGUCCGAUUAGCUAGUUGGUGGGGUAACGGCUCACCAAGGCGACGAUCGGUAGGGGGUGUGAGAGCAUGACCCCCCACACGGGUACUGAGACACGGACCCGACUCCUACGGGAGGCAGCAGUGGGGAAUUUUGGACAAUGGGGGGCAACCCUGAUCCAGCAAUGCCGCGUGAGUGAAGAAGGCCUUCGGGUUGUAAAGCUCUUUGUCAGGGAAGAAACAGCAGCUCUAACACAGUCUGCGAAUGACGGUACCUGAAGAAUAAGCACCGGCUAACUACGUG